GCCUUCGUAGAUCAAUUGGAUAGAUCGUCAGACUUCUAAUCUGAAGGUUGCGAGUUCGACCCUCGCCGAAGGUG